AAGACACUGAGCAUGCUCGAGCAGGUGAUUCUGGUUAUGACCCUAUAUGGAGUUGUUUACUCCAGCCCUGCAGGGGCCCAGUGCCAUCUUGGAAUGGCGGCCACACCUCAUGGCUCCCUGCACCAACCCCCAACCUGAAAUCUGGGGCCUUCACCAUGGCUUCUCCACCGCGGAGUGGUCCGCCUUCCGCGUUCUCCAGCUCGUCUCUGCGGUAGCCACCAUCCUGAUUCCUGAAUGCAUCCAUCCCCUCACCCCCCUUUUUAUGCCCUCUCAUCUAACCCUGUUCUAGUCCUAGCGUGAAUGUUACACUUUAGUUACCUCACUGAUUUUUAGGAGGGUGUCAUGCCGCAUGGCAUCUCCUGGAUGAUGACCCCUACCUGUACUUUUAUGGGUCAGUUUGGCUGCUGUGUGAUCUUCCGUGGCAGGUUCAGCGUAUGGACACCUUGACUGAGAAGCCAUCCUGGACUAGCACAUGACUUAGUCACUGGGCCACCUAAGUGUUUGAUGCCUUCAGCCACCCCCUGUUGACUCUGCAAUAUCAGGUUCUCACAGGGCCAUUUACAUUCAUGAUCUGAUUAAAGACCUGCGACGAAAUUAAAAGACUACCUACUUUAUCAAUCUGUGGAGAAGAGUUUAGUCUCAUGGGCUCAUUCCUAGAAUAUGACUCUUCCAACCCUGGCAUGAAUUACCCGUCACUAGUGGGCAAGGUGGAAAUGAGUGAUCCAUAUUUGAAGAACGUCCAUCGUUCCUCUUUCGUGAUUUAAGACCAGCCUGGAGAAGAAGGAAGUCAACACCUGAAUGGAAGGAUGAUGGGUAAUCUCAUUGUUCUGAGAUUGGAGGUAAAACACAGCAUCAAUCAGAAGACCUGUUAACGAUGUAGAGAAAAAGUCUCAAAAAGUCCUGGGGGUAGAUUUGUACAUCCCCACAGGAGUUCCCUAGAUGUAGUAUAGAGACCCCAGGCGGGAUCGCUGUCAUGCUGGUGUUUAACUUCCCUCUAGAAGCAAGGAAAUAUUUAACUUUACUUCUGAUUUUACACGAGCCCAGAGUUGAGAGACUUGAACUUUUAAAAGUGAUUUUGGAGUUUUGUAGAAACUUUGGAUUUUUUUAA